GGUGGCUCAGUGGUAGAGUGCUUGCCUUGCAUGCAUGAGGACCUGUGUUCAAUUCCUCAGCACCA
rnacentral:tRNA from 1 species